UGGCGACCGGCGCACGGGUGAGUAACACGUAUGCAACCUGCCCGUCUCAGGGGGAUAAUCGUCGGAAACGGCGUCUAAUACCCCGUAUGAAGCUGGACGGCAUCGUCUGGUUUUGAAAGAAUAUCGGAGACGGAUGGGCAUGCGGCGCAUUAGCUAGUUGGCGGGGUAACGGCCCACCAAGGCGACGAUGCGUAGGGGUUCUGAGAGGAAGGUCCCCCACACUGGUACUGAGACACGGACCAGACUCCUACGGAAGGCAGCAG
rnacentral:rRNA from 1 species